rnacentral:rRNA from 1 species
UACGUAGGGUGCAAGCGUUAAUCGGAAUUACUGGGCGUAAAGCGUGCGCAGGCGGUUGUGUAAGACAGAUGUGAAAUCCCCGGGCUUAACCUGGGAACUGCAUUUGUGACUGCACAGCUAGAGUACGGCAGAGGGGGAUGGAAUUCCGCGUGUAGCAGUGAAAUGCGUAGAUAUGCGGAGGAACACCGAUGGCGAAGGCAAUCCCCUGGACCUGUACUGACGCUGAGGUGCGAAAGCGUGGGGAGCAAACAGG